rnacentral:lncRNA from 1 species
GUAGAGGCAGGAGGGCUCAGCCUGAGCCUUGGCGUUUGGCAUCCCCCCAAUUCCUGGGUGUCCUCUGUCCCCUCAGCCAGUUCCUCCUUUACUUGAGCCCUCAAAUGGGACCUUCCCUCUGUCUCCUCCUCCCCUCACUGGAAAUGAAGAUGGUAGAGUGUGGCUGUUGGGAUAAUUAAACAAACCACCGGCUCAGGACAGCUCAGGGCCCUGAGCAGGCAUUCCACAUCCCUGUCAGUCAGUGUCACUGGGGCCCUAACCCCACAUGUCAGCUGCCACCACCACCAGUAUCUGAGCUCCUGUCUGAGUGUUCCGUCCCUUGACAUGUCCCAGAGAGACAAACUUGCCCCCAGAUCCUGGCCCGCUGGAUGCAUCAUCAUCCUCCUGGUUCUUGGCCUCGAAGCCCCCCACGCCCAAAAGAUCCCUCCAUCCUGCCUCCAACCCCUGCAAGUGCCACCACUGCAGCAGUGAUACAAGGCCAAGCUGACGGGUGACCUCGCCUGGUCCUGUGAGGAUCACAGAUGAGAACCAGGUGCAGGAGUGAGGGGCUUCUGUGUCACAGCCGAGAGGUGUAGGCCACCGCCAGGCAGCACAUUCCAGGUCCCGGCCUGCACCCCAAAAGGCUGAGAGCGAUGGCUGCACAGGAUGGGAGGUGCUCGCCUCUGCUGCUGGUCCUCCCUAGACUCCUGCCCAGCCCCAGCCCCUCUGGCUCCUGCCCACUCAGACCCAUCACGCCCACGUCGCCUAGUCUGUUGCCACACCAUGUCCUCCACGCCUCCACUUCUGCUGCUUUUAAGAACCAGGAAAUGGAUUUCAAACAGCCAGAAGAUGGCAGCCGACUCCCUCCCCAUGCCCUCCGUUCCUGUCUUUGGGUCCAGUUGCCCUGCCACAUGGCUCCCUGUGGCCUCAGACUCACCAAUAGAUGAGGGCUCUGCUCUCGUCAAGUUAUGUUCCAGAGAGAAAAGAGAGAAUAAACAUGAG